UACGUAGGGUGCAAGCGUUGUCCGGAAUUAUUGGGCGUAAAGAGCUCGUAGGCGGCUUGUCGCGUCGACUGUGAAAUCCCGAGGCUCAACUUCGGGCUUGCAGUCGAUACGGGCAGGCUAGAGUUCGGUAGGGGAGACUGGAAUUCCUGGUGUAGCGGUGGAAUGCGCAGAUAUCAGGAGGAACACCAAUGGCGAAGGCAGAUCUCUGGGCCGUAACUGACGCUGAGGAGCGAAAGCAUGGGGAGCGAACAGG
rnacentral:rRNA from 1 species